rnacentral:misc_RNA from 1 species
UCGACGCAUGCCGAUUUGUUUGAAACAAGAAGCCGUGGUGUUUAAGUUUACAAACUAUGUAUGUCUGAGCUACAACGAGUCCUGGUUCAUUUUUCACAACUGCCGGCUAAAGGCAGUUAGUCGGGAUAAGGUGAUCUUGAACACGAACGGAACCAUCCUCUUUCCGGCUUUCUCCAUCAUCACUCACAGCAAGCUAUUCAAAAAGGCGAACGGAUACAAGCCAUGGCUAUUUGAUACCAAAGUGGAUGCCUGUCGAUUUUUGAAGAAACGUUAUGAUCCUUUCGCCAAAAUUGUUUAUGGUCUCUUUAAAGAAUUUUCCAAUAUCAACCACACCUGUCCGUAUGUGGGUCUGCAGGAAGUAAGGGGCUUCUUUUUAAGGCCUGAGCUUUUGUCGCUUCCCAUCCCAAGUGGGGAUUACAUGCUGUCGUUGAGAUGGUAUUUUCAUAAGAAACUAGUGUUUGACACAAACGUCAGUUUUACAUUUACAGAAGAUUUUCUUCAUGGAUAGUAACAAAUAUAAAAUAAUGUCGGCACAAGCUUGCGACAAAUUUUGCAAAAUUAUUGUACAUUUUAUAUUAACAAAAUACGCCUUGGAUGGUUGCUGAUUUGGCCGAAAACAUUAUGUGACAACCAUCGUUUACAACAUUUUUUAAGGAUAAUUCUAAUUUGAAUCAUAAUUGUCCCUAUUCGUUAAACUAUUCUUCCAGCGCCUAGGUUUCCAGGGCCUAGGUUAUGGGUGUUCAAGUGUUUCCCGAGGCAAUCCCAGUUCCACUUCCGUCUGGAAAUUACCUAAUUUUAAUUAAAGGGUCUGAAGCCGAAAUGUUUCCACAGAUCUAGUCUAGUAUUCUUCGGAAUUUACUUCUGUUUUGAGGAAUAGUACUGUUUUUUAAUGAAAAAAUUACUAUUUACGAGGAUCUGCCCCAAAGUUGCAUUAAUUUCUGGGUGUUUGAUAAAAGGAUUCUAAUCACAAUUAACGUUUAUAAGAGAUGAAAUUCAACACAUACAUUUAUGUGGCUAUUUUUAACCAGAAACAUAUUGAUUUAAUUUAAUUCUAAGGUUUAUGUAUAAUCCUGUAUGUUUCGGAAAAUUAAAUUUAAAUGA